AUAUUGUACAAUGGGGGCAACCCUGAUCCAGCCAUGCCGCGUGUGUGAAGAAGGUCUUCGGAUUGUCAAGCACUUUAAGUUGGGCGGAAGGGCGUUAUGUUAAUACCCUGAAGUUUUGACGUUACCAACAGAAUAAUCACCGGCUAACUCUGUGCCAGCAGCCGCGGUAAUACAGAGGGUGCAAGCGUUAAUCGGAAUUACUGGGCGUAAAGCGCGCGUAGGAGGUUCAGUAAGAUGGGUGUGAAAUCCCCGGGCUUAACCUGGGAACUGCUUUCAUAACUGCUGAGCUAGAGUACGGUAGAGGGUAGUGGAAUUUCCUGUGUAGCGGUGAAAUGAGUAGAUAUAGGAAGGAACACCAGUGGCGAAGACGACUACCUGGACUGAUACUGACACUGAGGUGCGAAAGCGUGGGGAGCAAACA
rnacentral:rRNA from 1 species